GCGAGCGGCAAAUUCAAGCAAAAUACUAAAGACAGGUUACAAUGUGUUAAAACCUUAAACAGUCCUUUGCAAACGAGCACGGGAUUUCAACCUGGUGAAGAUUACUAUCUACCCGCUGUCUUUAAUAACAUCCAGCAGGUAUGUAUAAUGUGUAUUUUCAUUAAAAAUAGCAUCAAUCAAUACUUGUGACAAAUUAAAACAAGCACUAUUUAGUGUUAACGCUAUAGAGCCUUUAAAAUCAAGUUAGGCUGCGACAGGUCCAUAUAUACCUCAAGUAUAUAAUGACUGCAUUAGUUUAUUUAACGCUAAUAAAAAAAAAAAGGCUCCAUUUGGAGGAGGAUUUGAUUGGUUGGCACGUUGCCAGUGUAUUGUCACUCACGGAGUGUAAACAAGACUCUGAUUGGCUGCUCGCCAGUCCGCAUUGGGCUAUCUGGAAAAAAAGAAAGAAAUAACUGGAUCUGCGGUUUCAAGGCGUCCCAGGUUAGAUGAUGAAAACAGAUAAGAAGGAACCGUUUCAAGGCGCUCCAAAAGGCGGACCCUCUAUGGCCCUGGAGCUAUACUCGGAGAACACGAGAAGUACAGAAAGAAAUGGUCGAUAUGUUGGAUUAAACAUUCGCUGUGCGAUACUUUCAGACCUGGAACGGAGAGACAUGAUACAGAUUUCUGGACACAUCGCUCAACAGUCAUGGAAUGGAAUGCACAGGAUUGUGGGAUAUCAAAGACAGCAAAGGAUACAUCCAUGCUGCCUUCAAAAUUCGCUCAGAAGAAGGUACCUGCGGAGACAGGAAGUAAAGCAGAAUUUGGAUUUGGACGUGCCUUGAUGCCUUCCUGCCAUGGAAUGCUGCCUCCAAAGGCAGCAUUUUAGAGCUUUCGGACACAGCGAUAGUUUUGCUCCAGCCACAAUUAAACACACCUGAAGAAGCUUAUUAAGGUCUUCAGGCUACUAAAAACUGCUAUACAGGUGCGUUAGUGCUAAAUUCAGCAGGGAAGUGGCCCUUCGGGAGCAGCAAUGGGCAAUCCUGGGCUGCGUUCCACUCCACUUUUACACACACGCUCACUAACUUCCCUAAGCACGUCCCCUUGGAAGAUCCCGAUGCCAUUUUGAAGUAUUUUCCACUUUGUAAAGUGGACGAGGGAAGUUUAUGUGGACAGACCCUCGAUCCCUCGAUUUUCAGCGAGGGAGCAAAUCUGCUUCAUAUGCAAACUUCAGGCUGCUCCACAAACCCCAAUGCAACACGAUUGUGACGUCAUCGCAGAUGGCCUUUAAUUCAUCCCCACCCCAAACAACUCUAUAAUAUAUAAAUGUUUUGUUGUUGUUGUUGGUUUUUUUACAUUACGUUUUAUAACAGCCCAAGCAUACAAAUAGAAUGCUGCAGCAAACAAAUUCGUAAGGGGAAAAAUAUAAACAAUAAACCAACUCUAUAUCUGAUCAUGGGCUUAGGAUGCUCCAGUUCAGCCCAUUCAAAUAGGUUCUGCCAGAAGUGGGCAUUCAUGCAAAGCAAUCAAUGACGUACAUCCAGGUAAACGAGACAGAGUUAAGUCUGCAAGUGAAGGUCAUGAAAAAUGCCAGCCAUGGUUUAGACUACAAGACUUGAAUUGGGUCUGUACAAUAAGGGAGAAAAUGUGGAAAAUGCCAGCCAUGGUUUAGACUACAAGACUUGAAUUGGGUCUGUACAAUAAGGGAGAAAAUGUGCAGAACUGGGGGUCUUGAGGACAGGUUUGAGAACCACUGCUGCAAUCAUGGUCAGUCCCAUUGUGCAUAAUAUUUCUUCUUGCUGUGGUGGUUACAAACCUCAGUGCUAACCGAGUUAGAUUAACAUGAUGGUGCCACUGAACCAAAUGUGUUGUUCAGGUAUCUGAACUACACUGUCAAGCUACAUUUACACAACAAUGAUGUAGUCAAAAACUGAAAAGUUUUUCCCUUGUGUUUUCAAAAAGUUUCUCGUAUACAGGACAACUUUUUCAAAAUGAUUCACGUUUACACAUAUCCACGAAAAUGUGCUGUAUUACGUAUGCCAGGCCAGUAGUUGGUGCUGUCACCUUGUUAGUAAACAGUACCUGUAGGGAAGUGAUGAUUACGAUGUAUAUGAUGCGUCUCCGCUGUUGUAAUAUUGGUGAAGUAAAUCCACACUUUGCUGAAGAAGCGUUAGCAAACUCUUGAGCAGCAAAACAAACAGUCAAAAUGCAUAAAAAGUUUCCCAUUUUUGGCUGAAAAUGUUCUCGUGUAAACGUCCCCUACAGAAAAAAAGUGCAAAAAAUAUAUUUUUUUACGCACAACAGCUAGUCACUGGGGCAGUACUCUCAAAGGGACACCUUUGUACCUUAUCUGCCCCUAAUAAGUGCAUGUUAGCACCCUUUUUUCAACAUUGAGAAUGUAUUUGCUGUUGCAUUAUGAAAUUGCAUUUUGACAUUUCAUUGGUAUUCCACUGACCAUGAACUUGUAUGGACGCAUUUGACACGAGCAUGCCAAGGCCAUGUUUAGACCUGGUAUUAUUAUUAUUUAUUGUAUUUUUUGUAUCUGAUCACAUGUGGACGGAAUUAAAUACAGGUGUAAAUGGGGUCUUUUGGCCGCUUUGAAAACUCAUUCACCUGCUUGCCAUCUACUGACCUAACAAUAUGUGAGAGUGUUUGAGAAAAUGUUUAAAGCUCACCAAAAAAUUCAGAAAAAAAUUACAAACGCUGUCACUGGGGUGACGCCUUCUCAAAAGGUAAACCUUUGUACCUUAUUUAUCCCUAAAGGGUGUAUUUUUGCAUGUUAAAGGUACAAGUAAUACCUAAAUAGUACGUAAAUGGUGCAAUUUAGUAACGUCACACCAGUGGCAGUUUUGGUAUCUUUUUUUCUAAUCAAAAGCACAGUUAUUAUUCGUAUCUUUGCCACUCACUUCCUUUCCUGCUCACUUGUAAGCAGCAUAAUGGCUUCAUUCAUUCAGUCAUACUCAUAUGCCACAGCUCAGUACUCCUCCAAAAGUGAUUUAGAGUUUGACGAAAUAAGAGGUUAUGGUCUAGAUAUCUGAACGCAAAUCAUCACAGGAGACACAUUUAAAGAAAUGUGUGUUAAGACCAGGUGUAAAUGGUAAUGCUUCUUGGCUGAGCACUUGUGAUCAGAUCGCUGAAAACUCAACUUAAUACCAGGAGUAACAGGGCUGCUUUGUGUUACUUCACUUGAGUGUAGAGGAACAGUUAGGGUUAGGGUUAGGGUUAGGGUUAGGGUUAGGGUUAGGGUUAGGGUAAGGGUUAUCUAAUCUAACAAAACCUGUACAAACCUAAAUCAUUUACCUCUAUUGUUUUUAUUGGUGUUCCUCAUAAUCUAAUUUGAGUCUGUUUCUGAAUAGUUCAUAAGAAUAUGCACAGGAAAAUGUGAUAUUUGCAGCGCAUAUCCAUAAUGUGAAGAGAGGAUGACAUUACAAUUCCCUUUCUUGUUAGGGUAAACCCAACCGACUUAUAAGAUGAUGAGAUAAUCAAACAAUGAACAAUGAUAAAAUCAUUAUGAAUACACACACAGAUCAACUAUAGAACAUUAAGGCGUCAAAUCAUCAUAAAAUUAUGAAGCAUUUAAAAACAUUUACCUAGCAAGAAGAAACACCACUGUUGCCACAGAAGCUUGAGAGGAC
rnacentral:lncRNA from 1 species